rnacentral:rRNA from 1 species
AACGAACGCUGGCGGCAGGCCUAACACAUGCAAGUCGAGCGCGCCCUUCGGGGUGAGCGGCGGACGGGUGAGUAACGCGUGGGAACGUGCCCUUUUCUACGGAAUAGCCUCGGGAAACUGAGAGUAAUACCGUAUACGCCCUUUGGGGGAAAGAUUUAUCGGAAAAGGAUCGGCCCGCGUUGGAUUAGGUAGUUGGUGGGGUAAUGGCCUACCAAGCCGACGAUCCAUAGCUGGUUUGAGAGGAUGAUCAGCCACACUGGGACUGAGACACGGCCCAGACUCCUACGGGAGGCAGCAGUGGGGAAUCUUAGACAAUGGGGGCAACCCUGAUCUAGCCAUGCCGCGUGAGUGAUGAAGGCCUUAGGGUUGUAAAGCGCUUUCAGCUGGGAAGAUAAUGACGGUACCAGCAGAAGAAGCCCCGGCUAACUCCGUG